ACCAGCUUGAGAAGAAAAAGAAAAUACCUCUUUUUUCCUAUGUGACGCCGUUUAGAGACCCCCACAAAAUUUCUUCCCGUUCUUCACUUUUCUCCUUCCUCUUCUCUCCCUGAAAACCGAUCUGUCUCCUUCUUCCGUCUACCCAUUUCUUCUUCUGCUCUUUCACCCAAGAUCUCCCUCUCUUCACUCACCCAACCAGCGGCACCUAACCGAAGCACUCUAACCUCCAACCGGCGACACCCAACCCAAGAAGUUCCUUCUCUUCUUCCUCUUUUGCCCAACCGGCACUACCCAAGCUUCUCUACCCUCCAACCGAUCCAAAUCCUUCUAAAGAAAUUAGAUCUAAAACCCAAAAGCCAUAGGAUGGAAAGGAACACUUUCCCUUCCGAUUUCCUUUUUUUUUUAAAUUUUAUGUAUGUACUUUUGUUGUUGUGGGUAUUGGUUGCUAGUUUAGGAUUUUUUGGUGGUUGAUUUGUGGUUUUUUGUUGUUGUUUGAAUCUGGUUUUUUUUUUGAAAGAUUGGUUUCUUUUUUUGAUCAUUUUCUUUUAUUUAAUAGUUAUCGCAUUUUAGGCUCAAUUUUUUGAGUUGCUAUCUUCGAUUUUAGGCCAAUGAAGCUGGCAUUGUGAAGGUUGCUUGGAUCCCUCCUGAGUAUGGCGAUGCUGUUGCUUGCAUUUGUGAAGAUGGGAGUUUAUCCAUAUGGGAAUAGCCUGUAGAAGGUACACAACCUUUAAGGGGUGAAGGCCAAGAAUCAAGCUUUAUUUUGGGUUUCACUUCUAAUACUCCACAGCUCAAUUCCCUCAAGAGUUCCAUAGGUGUGGGAAUUUGAUCCAGCUCAUUAGAGAUGGCUGCCAGUAGCAGAGAUGGCUGCCAGUAGCAGAGUUGGCUUUGCCUGGUGACAAGGGAGAUCAAGUUUAUUCUGUUGCAUGGGCACCAAACAUUGGACGGUAAUGGAACCAUUGUGCUUAUCAACUUGCGAAACCAGGAAUGAGAUGCAACACUUUAUUGAUUGUUUGGCUUUGAUUCUGGUUAUGAAAAUAGAAAGAACUUGCUGUUUUGACUAUUGUUUGUUGGCACUUUGUUUUGAUUUUGGCCAUGAUUCUAUUAUGAUGGGGCGUUAUUUGGGUUGUUUGUUUCAAUGUAAUUAAACUGGUUGCAUGAGCCUUUCUUGCUAGCUUGUUAUCCACUACUUUGUAUUUUACAUUAUAACAAUGAAAAUGCAUGAAUGACUAAAUUUUGAAUUUUGGAUUUUAA